UACGGAGGGUGCGAGCGUUGUCCGGAAUCACUGGGCGUAAAGGGCGCGUAGGCGGCUUCUCAAGCGUGUGGUGAAAGUCCGGGGCUCAACCCCGGAUCGGCCGUGCGGACUGGGGAGCUCGAGUUCUGUAGAGGCGGGUGGAAUUCCGGGUGUAGCGGUGGAAUGCGUAGAGAUCCGGAAGAACACCAGUGGCGAAGGCGACUCACUGGACACGUAUUGACGCUGAGGUGCGAAAGCGUGGGGAGCAAACAGG
rnacentral:rRNA from 1 species